AACGCAUAUUGCGCCCCUUGGUAUUCCGGAGGGCAUGCCUGUCCGAGCGUCAUUACUAUUCUCAAGCACAGCUUGUGUGUUGAGCAUCUGUUCUUUAACGAACAUGCUUGAAAUGCAGUGGCAAUGCUGUAUCUGGUACCCGAGCGUUAUAGGACUUCGUCACCCGUUCUGUUGGCUCCAGUCGGCAUUUAGGCCUUAUUAGUUUUUAUCUGAACUGACCUCGGAUCAGGCAAGAAUACCCGCUGAACUUAA
rnacentral:misc_RNA from 1 species